AUCUCUGAGGUCCAGACAUUCUUUUUGUGUAUGCAUUUGAUUUUCCUUAAGUGUCCUUGUUUAUUUGCUUGGUUCUUUGUUGUUUUUAAAAUCUUCAGUUCACUGGCCAGGUGUUUUGUUUGUUUGGGUUGGUCUUUCUCUGUUUGGAUGCUGAGUUUCCCUUACUAUGUUAUGUUAAAAACAGUCAGAGAUCUGCUUGUCAUGGGACCCCAAGUAGAGGCUGACCUCUGACUGGUAGAAGAUAAAGGAAUUUUUCCCAUAGCGGGAAGGGGGAGGGUAUAUGGUAGAAGGUGGACAGCAGUCCCAUGCUGAGGGCCUAAGAAGAGCCCCUCUGUGCCAAAGUGUCUUUGUGCUCUUCUAGCUUCACAGAUGCAAAAGAUUAAGUUUACCUGUUCGGUGUCUUUGUGGCCUCUAAGAGCCAUGGAUCCCACACAUACUCAGAUAGGAUUGAUACUGUCUCUCACCUCAGGAAUCCUUGUACUACCACAGAUCACACUGUCUUUGCAAAUCUGUUAUUAGCAAUCUCUGCUUCCAGGUUUUCAGGUGCUGGUUCCAUGGCUCUUCCUGAGCCGAAAAUAAGGAAACUCCAUAGACCUUGUCCACUGGAACUCGUUCCCAUCUACCCUCCACUCUAUCCAGCCCCAUGAGGACAAGGAACAUGAUUGGUUUUGCUCACUGCCGUAUCUUCCGUACCUAGUACGUAACAGGACAUCAAUAAAUAUUAGUUGAAUGGAAGAUUAAAUCAACAAAAUGGGUGAUGGAUCUCUGCAGUAAGUGGAAGAGUUCUUCAUGGCCCCCAAGGUUAUAUCCAUCUAGAACUUCAGCACGUAAUUUCAUCUGGAAAUAGUGCCUUUGCGGAUAUAAGUUAGGUAAAACUGAAGAUGAGAUCAUACUGGAUUAGGAUGGGAUCUAAAUCCAAUGAAAAUGUCUUCAUAAAAAACAGGAAAGAACCCAUAGAAACACAAGGAAGAAGGUCAUGUGAAGAUGGAGGCAGAGAUUGGAGGGAUGCAGCCACCGGCCCAGGAAUGCCAGCAGCCACCCAGAAGCUGGAAGGAAAUGAGGGAUUCUCUCCUAGAACCUUUAGAGAGAACAUGGUCCUGUGAACAGCUUGAUUUUGGACUUGCCCAUAGCUUGUAUACUCUUACUUUGGAUACAAUUUUAUCCAAACUUGGCUAAACAGUUUCUCAGCCUAUGGAAAAUUUAAAAUGGAGAAGAUUCAACUCGAUUCUUACAGAUUCAAAGCAAGAAAAUGAUGGGAACAUAGGAGGAGACCAAGAAAGCCUAUAAAAAGCAAAAAUAUGAAGUGAACAUUGUGGUAGCUUUAAGAUGUUUAGUGUAGCUGCAGGCACCCUAUACACAUGAAAACCCCCAAGGGGAAUCCCCAUAUCACAGUGUAGUGUGAUAUUUGACAUUCGUGAUCAUCUAGAGAUGUACAGAAAAGGUGAAUCUGUGUUCUGUAUAUUCUGCCUAAGGCAAAGAAAUGUUUAGCUCUCUUUAAAAUAGUUCCAUAAUUUUUUCUAAAAAGCUUUGCUUGAAAACUGUAAGCUUCCCAUAUCUGGAGCAUUUCACUUUAAAUAUUUGGAUAAAUAUGUUAUCUUCUUACUUGGACAUUUCAUGUGUUUAGGGAUUGUCUUCUAAAUUCUUCCUAAUUCAUAUAGCUGCUAACACUUCCCGCAGAGCUAAACCAUUACAGAUAUGAAAUAAAGACCUAUUGAUUUGACUUACUUUUACUUGUAAAACCUUCUGAGUGUUAUAACCUCAUUUAAUCUUUCAGCAUUUACAGUUUCAAGAGUUUGUGUCACAAUUAGAAGAAUUCAGCUGCACCUCCAAGUGACAGCAGUUGCUCUGGUUGGUGGGUGAUCUCAGGAGGCUUGAGAAUUGCUUUGUCUGUGAGGGAAGUAAGACAUUUUCAGAGCCCCACUUUAGAAGGUGUGAACUGGCUAGAUAAUGAACCCCAGGGCUAACGCUGCUAUAGCAGUGGGAAGGAGGUGAUGGGUUUUCAGUUUGGACCUCAAACAUCAAUACCCUCCUGGUACGGGGAGGAACAGAGUCCCUCCUUUACUUCUCCAUUAGAAAGAAUGAGAUGGCAAGACAAUGAAACAGGCAAAGUGAACAGAGAUGCAAGACAAAAUUCAGGUGAGAGAGCCAGAGCAUCACUCAGCCAUUCCUGACAUGUAAAACAGGCAACUAGAAAUUUGCAGAAAGGAAGCGAAGUCUCCAUAAAGAUGUUUUUAAAGUGAGCUUGAAGUAUUUGGAGACAAUUCAGUGUUACAUAAAAUCUGCAAAUCUCUGGAUAAAGAAGCAGAGAUCCCAGCAUGGGACAAAUGGAGCCUCAAAAGUGGGAAGAAGACAGAGAAGACCAGGGCAGAAUGCAUCUCUUCCUUUCUCUUGGCUUUCCUGGAUAAGGACUGCAUCAUUCCUGUGGAAGGACAGGCCAUCAGCUCCGAAACACUGUAUGUAUUUUCCAGUAUAUACUGCUAGCUGUGUGAUGUUGGGAAAAUUUGUUACCCUGUCUAACCCCCACUUCCCUCAUCUGUAAAAUGGAAAUAAUGAUAGUACCUACCUAUCUCAUAGGUGGCAACUACAAGGGGCAGCACACUCAGGGAAUUAAGGAAGUUUCAGUGAACAUCAACUUUAUGAACACAGUGUUCAUAAAGGCAGGUCAGUGCAGUGGUUUGGGAGCCAGGAGAAGCACGUGGGCCGGAGUGUGCCUGCAGGAGACAAGGUCAGAGAUGUUGCUAAUAAUGGAGAAUAAAGGAUGCAUUCUCAUUACUGACCUUGGAGUCGUUCAUUCAUUCCCAGAAUGUGUUUUGUCAGCUUACUAAAACACUAAGUUAAAUAAUCCCAGGUUUUGUUUAUU
rnacentral:lncRNA from 1 species